rnacentral:rRNA from 1 species
UUGACCUCAAAUCANGUAGGACUACCCGCUGAACUUAAGCAUAUCAAUAANCGGAGGAAAAGAAACUAACAANGAUUCCCCUAGUAACUGNGAGUGAAGUGGGAAAAGCUCAAAUUUAAAAUCUGAAAAGUCUUUUGACUGUCUGAAUUG